UGCUGUAUUCAUUCAUUACCCAUCCGAGUACAAACACACAUUGCACUCCUCGUCGGCCUCUCCUUUUUUUCCCUCCUCUUUCUGGCACGUACCAAAUGCUCUGUUUCUAGGUACUCUGCUGUCAACCCAAGAGAAGGAGAGAUAGAGAAAAUCUGUACAUAUCAUCCUCUACUCACCUUCACUCAUCUUCUCAAGUCAGUCGAUCCAUCAAAAGUUCCAACAAAUCAAUAUACAUACUAUAUACACACAUCAAUCUUUAUCAUCGUGGUUCUAUAGCUCUGUAGAAUUAGUGUAUAUCAACUUUAGAACUCUGUGGUAUGGUAGAUCGCACAAAUCUCAAAAUUUUAAGGAGAUUUGCACGCUGUUCAUCCAACAGCAAUUGGGGUAUUCUGAUUUGGUUUUUGUGGGAGCUUAACUGAUUUUUGUUCAGUUAUUGAUUGCCUCACUUAGUACAUAUCGUUAGAGUUGCUCUGCAAUCUCUGGGGAUUUGUUUUGUAUUAGUAUUUGUUCAAUUAAAUGGUUGGAAGGUGCACAGUUGGGACCUCCUCGGAUCCAGCUUUUUCCUUAUGUUUCCAGAUUUUAUAGUAUUUUAAAGAGAUGGGUUUAUCUAAAUAGUUAUUUAAUACAGCUGCUUCUACUAUUUAAAAUAAGGGUAUAUAUACAGCUGCUUCUACUAUUUAAAAUAAGG